ACCUCUCGGGGUUACAGCCUUGCUGAAUUAUUCACCCUUGUCUUUUGCGUACUUCUUGUUUCCUUGGUGGGUUCGCCCACCACUAGGACAAACAUAAACCUUUUGUAAUUGCAAUCAGCGUCAGUAACAAAUUAAUAAUUACAACUUUCAACAACGGAUCUCUUGGUUCUGGCAUCGAUGAAGAACGCAGCGAAAUGCGAUAAGUAGUGUGAAUUGCAGAAUUCAGUGAAUCAUCGAAUCUUUGAACGCACAUUGCGCCCUUUGGUAUUCCAAAGGGCAUGCCUGUUCGAGCGUCAUUUGUACCCUCAAGCUUUGCUUGGUGUUGGGCGUCUUGUCUCUAGCUUUGCUGGAGACUCGCCUUAAAGUAAUUGGCAGCCGGCCUACUGGUUUCGGAGCGCAGCACAAGUCGCACUCUCUAUCAGCAAAGGUCUAGCAUCCAUUAAGCCUUUUUUUCAACUUUUGACCUCGGAUCAGGUAGGGAUACCCGCUGAACUUAAGCAUAUCAAUAAGC
rnacentral:rRNA from 1 species